rnacentral:rRNA from 1 species
GUCGAGCGGGCACUUCGGUGUCAGCGGCAGACGGGUGAGUAACACGUGGGAACGUACCCUUUGGUUCGGAAUAACGCUGGGAAACUAGCGCUAAUACCGGAUACGCCCUUUUGGGGAAAGGCUUGCUGCCGAAGGAUCGGCCCGCGUCUGAUUAGCUAGUUGGUGGGGUAAUGGCCUACCAAGGCGACGAUCAGUAGCUGGUCUGAGAGGAUGAUCAGCCACACUGGGACUGAGACACGGCCCAGACUCCUACGGGAGGCAGCAGUGGGGAAUAUUGGACAAUGGGCGCAAGCCUGAUCCAGCCAUGCCGCGUGAGUGAUGAAGGCCUUAGGGUUGUAAAGCUCUUUUGUCCGGGACGAUAAUGACGGUACCGGAAGAAUAAGCCCCGGCUAACUUCGUGCCAGCAGCCGCGGUAAUACGAAGGGGGCUAGCGUUGCUCGGAAUCACUGGGCGUAAAGGGCGCGUAGGCGGCCAUUCAAGUCGGGGGUGAAAGCCUGUGGCUCAACCACAGAAUUGCCUUCGAUACUGUUUGGCUUGAGUUUGGUAGAGGUUGGUGGAACUGCGAGUGUAGAGGUGAAAUUCGUAGAUAUUCGCAAGAACACCAGUGGCGAA